rnacentral:tmRNA from 1 species
GGGGGUGUACCGGAUUCGACUUAUAACGUUAAGGGGUUGUAAGCAUACCGGAGGCUCGGCUCCGUAAAAACGGGACUUAAAAAUUAACUGACGAACAAAAUCUUCAGUACGCUGCCGCUUAAUUGGUAGCCGUCGGACCUACUUCCUGCGGGUAGCAAUCCGGCGUGGUUUAGCAGGGAACCGAGUACGGCAUCGCACCGCGCCGUAAACGGAACUUAGGUGCUUGGUUGAAGUGGGGUUUGCCUAUUGACCUAACGGAUACGACAAUCAACAACAGGCUAAGUAUGUAGAAAGCGAUUCGGUAACCUAUAAGAACAGGGGUUCGACUCCCCUCACCUCCACCA